AGGACGAACGCUGGCGGCGUGCUUAACACAUGCAAGUCACGGGGGCCCGCAAGGGCAACCGGCGAACGGGUGCGUAACACGUGAACAACCUGCCCUCGUGUGGGGGAUAGCCGUGCUAACGCGCGGGUAAUACCGCAUACGUUCCUCUGGGGGAGUCCCUGGGGGAGGAAAGCUCCGGCGCACGGGGAGGGGUUCGCGGCCUAUCAGCUAGUUGGCGGGGUAAUGGCCCACCAAGGCGACGACGGGUAGC
rnacentral:rRNA from 1 species